AAGUAAAGAAAGCUUUGCUUUAUUAGGGAGGAUGGUUAUAAUAUAACCCGCACUCCUGGGGCGUCUAUUACUCAUUGCGAGUAAAGGCGCACCAAGAGCGUACACGUUGGGACCCGAAAGAUGGUGAACUAUGCUUGGCCAGGAUGAAGCCAGGGGAAACUCUGGUGGAGGUCCGUAGCGAUUCUGACGUGCAAAUCGAUCGUCAGAGCUAAGUAUAGGGGCGAAAGACUAAUCGAAGCAUCUAGUAGCUGGUUCCCUCUGAAGUUUCCCUCAGGAUAGCUGGUGCCAAUGAUGAGACGAGUCUCAUCCGGUAAAGCGAAUGAUUAGAGGCCUUGGGGCCGAAACGACCUCAACCUAUUCUCAAACUUUAAAUGGAUGAGAGCCUUGGCUUGCUUAAAAA
rnacentral:rRNA from 1 species